GAAUCUUGCGCAAUGGGCGGAAGCCUGACGCAGCAACGCCGCGUGUGGGAAGACGGCCUUCGGGUUGUAAACCACUUUCAGGGGGGACGAAGCUUCCAGGGUUAAUAGCCCAUGGGGUGACGGUACCCCCAGAAGAAGCCCCGGCUAACUACGUGCCAGCAGCCGCGGUAAUACGUAGGGGGCGAGCGUUGUCCGGAAUCAUUGGGCGUAAAGCGCGUGUAGGCGGCUCGGUAAGUCCGGUGUGAAACCUUGGGGCUCAACCCCAAGCCUGCACUGGAUACUGCCGAGCUUGAGUCCGGGAGGGGAGAGCGGAAUUCCUAGUGUAGCGGUGAAAUGCGCAGAUAUUAGGAAGAACACCGGUGGCGAAGGCGGCUCUCUGGAACGGUACUGACGCUGAGACGCGAAAGCGUGGGGAGCGAACAG
rnacentral:rRNA from 1 species